AAGGAAUAUUGCUCAAUGGGAGAAAUCCUGAAGCAGCAACGCCGCGUGGAGGAUGAAGGGUCUAUGACUUGUAAACUCCUGUAAAGAAGGAAAAAAUUCCCAUUUGAUGGGAGAUGAUGGUACUUCUGGAGUAAGCCCCGGCUAACUACGUGCCAGCAGCCGCGGUAAUACGUAGGGGGCAAGCGUUGUCCGGAUUUUCUGGGUGUAAAGGGUGCUCAGGCGGAUUUGUAAGUCAGAGGUGAAAUCUUACAGCUUAACUGUGAAACUGCCUUUGAUACUGCAAGCCUAGAGUAUGGAAGAGAGUGAUGGAAUAUCUGGUGUAGCAGUGAAAUGCGUAGAUAUCAGAUAGAACACCAAUGGCGAAGGCAGUCACUUGGUCCAUUACUGACGCUAAAGCACGAAAGCGUGGGUAGCAAACA
rnacentral:rRNA from 1 species